rnacentral:lncRNA from 1 species
UUUCUCCCUUUUUUUUUGUUCUUUUGAUUUUGAUUUCUUUUGAUUUCUUUUGAUUUUUUUUUGAUUUUGCACCCUCCUCUUUUUUUUAAUGCCCCAGCUGGCUGUUCUGCUGAUCCUCGAGAUAUAGCUGAGUGAUCUUCUUUUCUUGCUCAAGAAGUCGGGAAAUCUCGUCAGGAAUCCCUUCAACAUCAUCUUCUUCCGCUUCGAAUACAGGGAAUUCAAAAUUGGGAGAUGACGUCGGAUCAUUAUGUUCAAUGGGUUUAAGAAACAACCUGCAUAAUGAUUUUGAGUAUAAAAAGCACUUUGAAAAUCAAACAAGACAAUCGUUAUGCAGAUGAAAGGAUUGCUUUU